UAAACUUAUAUACAUAUAAAUUGGUUUAUAUUAUUUCAGUUCGAUAUUGAAAAAAAAAAAAAUUAUAAAAUACAUUGGAAAUAAAAGUAAUUGGGAAAGAUGGUAAUAAAGGAAUCUUAAAAAUUUUGAAAGCAGUAUAAGUACAAAGGCAAAAGGGUACAAGACAUGGGAAGAAUUUGAACCAGUAAUUAAAUUAAUUAAGAAAUUUCUGAAAAACAAGACAUUCCCUUAUAAAUUUGCCAUUUCAAGUUGGAAUUAAAUUUGAAAUAUCUUUUAAUAACUACUUGUUACCAAAAAGAAAAUAUAUAUAUAUAUAUAAAUAUAUCUAACCGUUUCCACACUCACACACUAUAGUUCUAAAAAUUCCAAUGCUCAGUCAAUACUCGCAUACCCAUUUUUAUUUUGAGCUUGCCGCUUAAUAACCACGCCAGUAACAAAAAUAGCAAUUCCACAAAUACAACGCUGAUUAGUAGAGUGUGAAUGAAAAUAAUCAUCACCUCAAUAUUGCCGGCAAGGCGCGCAAAUAGAAAUUUAUACAAUUUUUUUUUUUUAUUAUUAUGAAUGCUUUUUUUUCCUUCUUUGUCUUUCUUUUGUAUUAACGCGUGUUUCGAUGAUUUGUGUAUACACAUGUCGUCAAGUCACAUUGGUUGGGUUGGUUAGCAUACGCUCUCGACGACUAUUCAUAUCAAUUCAGUCAUUUUCGAUUGCAGCCGACGUCGGCGUCCAAGUGGCUACGUCAAAAAAGUCGGCGUCGCCGUCGUUGUCGAGACAAGAUUUUGUUGUACUUUAUUUUGUUAAAAAAUUGGCGGGAAAUGUUUUUUUUUGUUUAAACACAUUAAGACUGCAAUGAUGAUAAACCAAGCAAGCAGUCACACAAUGUUCAGUCAGUCAGCCGGUUGGACACCGGUAUAUACAUGCAUAUAUAUGUACAUGUAAAUGUAUCACCAUUGCUUUCGUGGUGAUAGCAAUUGCAGCCAUCACAUGUGUUCCCCACUAAUCGUCUCCCAUUCGCAGAUAAUGUGUUGUUUAGGUGUUCGCUAAAUAUUGCUGUUAACGAUUUAGCAUCAUAAAAACAAUAUAAGUAGUAGUACUCAAGUAUUAUAAUAAAUGUUCUGUUCGUCUCUAUCUCUUUCUCUCUCUCUCUCUCAAUCUCUCCAUACAUGCAAUUUAUUGACUGAUGGCAUGCUUUGUAAAUGGCAUAAGGCAAGCAAAUAGUAAGUUGUUACCAUAGAAAGCAACACUGUGGUAGCACUGUAUUGUUUUUGGUGUAUCUAUGUAUGUAUGCUCGCGGAAUGAGGGCAAAGGGGUGGAAAUAAAAAACCAAAUUAUUGUUUCCCUUUCAAUAUAUUCAGUUGCAAAGGCGCAUGCAUUUUUCAGAUCUUUCAAUUAAUUUUUUUUUUGAUCAAUGACUUCAUCAUCAGCAGUAUCUUUUUUACUUGUUUUUGUAUCCGCAAAAGAAUAUCCCAAAGUACCUUUUGGAACAUGUUGCUUAUGGCCAGAUAAAAGCAGGCAGUACGGAUAUUUAGAAAAUAAAUAUAACUCUACCUCUCUUUAAUAUUGAAGCGUGUACCUGACCGCGGAUUUUUCUUGUUUAAAUUAACUCUGCAUCUUGUAUAUCAUACCAUAAACCAAUCACGUUCUAUUUUUCGCUAAUUCCCUAUUUCACUUCCAAUUAUGUGGCGUGAUUGUCGAUAGCUUUGAGACUAAUUGUAUAAUAAUAAUGAAACCUCAUAUUUCUAUUAGUGAUGAGUUGCUGAAUAUAUUACGAGCCUAUCGAGGCUGAAAACCCCCUAGAACCCUCUUAUUUCGCAAGCAUAAAACACCAUCGCAUAUAAAUAUGUAUAUUUGGAAAUAUGUAUACAUUUUAUGCAUUGGUAAGUCGAAGUCUCUUGACAACACUGUAGGAAGAGUCUAUACUCUUUAAAGAGCAAAAGUAAGAGAGUGUAUUGGAGGGGAAAUUUAGUUAAAAGAGCGCAAUACACAUUAAAGAGUACAAAGUGUAAAGAGAUAAUAAAAUUGGAGAGAAAAUUUCUUUCAGAAAGGCAAAGAGUUGAGAUACCGUGAUAUAUUUUGGUUAAUUUUAAUUAAAAUUGAUCCCCAGCACAUGUUUGUACGUACAGUUUAUUCCAACCACAUGGUCGCCGCAGAAAUGAUUAACACUUCUGUUUGUGAGGGGACCUUUUGGAUUUUUAAACCCUCGAAACUCACACUCAUACAUAAUUCCGAAAACGAAUUUUACCCACUAAUCGCCGAGGAAUAGGAGGCCAUUAAUCCUAACUAAAAGGUGGCACCCCUAGGUUGGACUCAACACUAAUCAUUCCAAGACAGAAAUAAUCCCCUUUACCUGAGGCAGGUCACUAAGGGGCAUGGAAGAAAUAACAUUAGACUGUAUCACUCCAGAGUGAUGAUUGGAUGCAAAAUACCGACGAGUUAGCAAGGCUACCAUAUUGUUGAUGAUAUGCAGAGGGUUUGCGGAUGAAUUUUGGAGAUGUAACCUAAACAUUCUAUAUUGAGUACAUCACUAUAGAAAAUCGAAAAAUAAUUUAUGCUGAAAUAAGCGUGGUCAACAACUGUACUCCACAAUAAUUACACUACCCAAACUCCUAAGACUUACAUGCGACUCUAUAGCAUGAGGAGAUGUGCGUUGGAAAUACGCUUUACUAGUUGUAGAACCACUAUAAAAUGUCGUAAAACACCUUAUAGUAUCAUAAAAUAAACAAGACAUUACAAAGUACGAUGUUACUCUAAUGCAAUAUGAAUGUGAGACUUCGCUACUACAGCAACAUAGAAUUUAUGACUUUUGCAAGAAGAAACGUCAAAUAUCUGUGGGUGAUUCCCAAAUGAUCAGCGAAGUGACACGGCUAAAGGUGCUUAUUGCUCGCAAUGGUCCAGUUCAGAUGUCUGAUCCGUUAGCGUCUUCCUAUCACUGUUCCUUUGAGCGAAACUGUUCUUUUUUGCAAUGCACCUAGUGCAAAAUUUGAAUACAUUCGACAUUUUUCCCCACUUUCUUAUACACACCUAUUAACUCUUGUGUCUUAUGGAAUUCCAAUGCCCAGAGCUUAGACAGAGAAAUGUAAUAGAACGUAAACAGAUCAAGGGUUGAAAUACAACUCGGUUAACAAAAGUAUCAUAUCGUUUUUACUGUUUGAAAACGAAGAUUCUCAUUUUGGUAUUAACGGAAUUCUCCUUCGAUACUACACAUUCAUCCCACAUCAAUUAACUUUAUAUUUGUAUGUAUGUACAUAUAUAUGAUGAUUUCGGCAAUGUAAAGGCGUCUCAACAAUGGCUUUUCUAUUAUCAUGAUUAUCAUCACUUCAAAUGCGAGAAUUUUGUAUAUUAAUUUACUCAUGCAACCAACAGUGAGCUUCCCUUCCUAGCUAAAAAAAAAACACCCUUUAUGUAUGCGUGAUACAGUGAAAUUUUAGCUGUCAAGCGAGAAAUUGACAGUUGAGCUUGAGACGUUAAUACAGAGGUGUUUUAUAAAUGAAUAUCACCUUAACUAUGAAAAUGAUGAUGUCUUCAGAUAUUUAUGUCUGUAUGUGUGAACAUAAUAAUAUGUAUUUUUUUAAAAAUCAAAAAUUUCUAAAUUGACAAUGAUUUAUAGGCACAAUGAUAAGAACUCGGUGUAUGUACAUACAUAGAUAACACAUCUUAAAAAAGUGUAAUUAUAUUCCGUGCCUCAACUUUAUUUAUGACCAAAGAAUUUUUUUUUUUUUGCCUUCACCAAAGCACCGCAGUAGAUUUUUGACUUGAUGCAUUUAUUUUGGCUUCUUUUUACUACAUUUCUCUUUAAUCCAUAAUAUUUGACCACCCUGUGGCACGCGACAGCAUUCCGUAUGCGGCCAUCAGACAAAAGGGAUUCUUCGUAUGCAUUCGUUCUCAAUGUGUUGGUCGUAUGGAUGGAUGGUUGGCCGGUCGAUUUUGGCUCGUCGUUUGGUGUACGUAUUCUAUCUUCAAAUACAGAAUGUAUAAGUAUUUUGUUGUUGGUGUUAUCCUGCACAACUUUUACAAAUAUAAAUACAUACAUAUGUACAUAUACAUGACUAUGUAUGCCUGAUUUGUUUAUACCCUUUAAAUGUUAAAAUAAAUUCAUACAUAAAUCAACUGUUUUCUUCGGUGGCUGGAUUGGCCAAUUGACUAAUGCAGUUUUAAUAGUAAAUUUAAAUGGAUUUGUGUCAUAUACAUAUGUAUAUGCACAUAUACAUAUAUACAUCGUAGUAAUAUUUAUUUAAUUUUCCUAUAUUUUAAUUUUAACUAGACUUGCAGUUGGUUGCUAUUUCGUGCAUAUACGUACAUGUACUUAUUAUUUAAUACGAACGUGUAUCAUGUAUAGGGUAUAUACAUACAUAUGUAUGUAUGUACAAUUAAAAUAUAUAUCUUUUCACCGUAUAUAAUUGAGUCACUGCGCGUUUCGUUAGCUGCCUGCCUGCCUGUUUACUGAUGGCACGUUGCUUUUGCUGGUGUACCAGCUAAAACGUACAUAAAAUUUAUUCACUUUCCUCUACCUUCCUCUAUAUAUACGUGUAUGUAUGUGCAUAUUUAGUACUUUAGGGCAGUGCCUUUUUGUGUGUGAGAAUUGAGUUUGCCCAUGGAAAUUUUCUUGAAAGUUAAAAAAAAUAGUGCUCAUUACUUUAGUAUCAGCUGAUUGUCAGAUUUCCAGCUGAUUGCCCUGCAAACACGUGAAUCGUCUGAGUCCGAAUUAACCCAACUUUUCACACAACGUCUUGCUGCUUAUGCCGCCCUAAUGCAUUCGUAGAUACUUUGGUACAUAUGUACGCAUCUAUCAAUACACAUACAUAGUAUAUCAGCAAACACAUGUGUAUGCUCAAAGAUAGGGUCGGUUGGUCGUUGGUUCAUCGUUCGUUCUUUUGCCCGAUGUAUAUACCAUUCUACCAUACAUACAUACCUACAGACAAAUUUACGUAUGAUAAGCGCCGUUGCCGUCGCCGUUGUCGUUAUUGCUUCGGUAUUGUGAAAUGAACGAAUGAAAGCUGUCGCCUGCUCGGUCGAUGUUGAGUAGAGUCACGCUACCAUUGCUCUGCAAGUGUGCACAUACAAACAUAUGUGUGUAAGUAUGCACAGUUGUAUUGUUGUUGUUAUUGUUGGUAAAGGGCGACGGGCCGUCGCAGAUGAUACACAUGUAUGUACGGGCGCAAAGCAAAAAGGCAACGAGCGAGCAGCAACAUCAGCGGAUUACUUGCUUUGCCAUUACCUUUGCCUUCGCCAUUCAAUUGUAGUAAGCGGCGCAGGCAAAUGUCGUAUAUUAGUGGCCAAGGGCUAGUGUAUAGUAGAGAAUAAAUGUAUAGCAUAAAGAAAUUCUUGGAACGAAAUUUCAAUAACUCUAACUCGAAACUAUGAAAUAUUAAGUGUUAUAAAGUACAAAUAUAGUUUGUAAACAAAUUUAUAUUCGAGGCUGGUGAUUCUAAUUUACAGAUUGCUAAAAUAAUACGAAUAAUGUGACUUAAAAAAACAGCGACAAAAUUUUUCAUUCAGUUAUACUAUAUGUAUGUAUGUAUACGAAUGUCCAAGCAAUCUUACUAAACACGAAUUCAUUGAAUAUUAUAGAAUGAAUGCAGUUCAUUAAUAAAGUUACAGAAAAAUUAAAAAAAAAAUAUAAACAUAGUUGUUAGUAAAAGUGACACAUAAAAUACGUACACGAAAUGAAUGGUGAGGCAAUAAAAGUAUUAAAUAAAAAAA